rnacentral:rRNA from 1 species
AGGCAGCAGUGGGGAAUAUUGGACAAUGGGCGAAAGCCUGAUCCAGCCAUGCCGCGUGUGUGAAGAAGGCCUUUUGGUUGUAAAGCACUUUAAGCGGGGAGGAGGGCACCAUGGUUAAUACCCAUGAAUGUCGGACGUUACCCGCAGAAUAAGCACCGGCUAACUCUGUGCCAGCAGCCGCGGUAAUACAGAGGGUGCGAGCGUUAAUCGGAAUUACUGGGCGUAAAGCGCGCGUAGGCGGCUUGUUAAGUCAAAUGUGAAAUCCCCGAGCUUAACUUGGGCAUUGCAUUCGAUACUGGCAAGCUAGAGUAUGGGAGAGGAAGGUAGAAUUCCAGGUGUAGCGGUGAAAUGCGUAGAGAUCUGGAGGAAUACCGAUGGCGAAGGCAGCCUUCUGGCCUAAUACUGACGCUGAGGUGCGAAAGCAUGGGGAGCAAACAGGAUUAGAUACCCUGGUAGUCCAUGCCGUAAACGAUGUCAACUAGCCGUUGGGCCCCUUGAGGGCUUAGUGGCGCAGCUAACGCGAUAAGUUGACCGCCUGGGGAGUACGGUCGCAAGACUAAAACUCAAAUGAAUUGACGGGGGCCCGCACAAGCGGUGGAGCGUGUGGUUUAAUUCGAUGCAACGCGAAGAACCUUACCUAGCCUUGACAUGUCUGGAAUCUUGUAGAGAUACGAGAGUGCCUUCGGGAAUCAGAACACAGGUGCUGCAUGGCUGUCGUCAGCUCGUGUCGUGAGAUGUUGGGUUAAGUCCCGUAACGAGCGCAACCC